GCGGAUCAUACGGUACCAUAGC
rnacentral:miRNA from 1 species